GCGCCACGGUGAAGAGCGGGUGCGGCCACAGCGAAAUCCAAAAACACGAUGUUUAGGGCGGCUACGGCUUCCGAGGUGCAACUAACAUCAAAAGAAGGUCGCGGCGGGGCUUAGGAGCUUUAUAAGGCACGGUUUAGCAAGAAAUCCCGGAGGUUUCGGGAUUGGAAAGAUUGCUUGCGGUUGGGAUGGAGUCCGGCUUAGUUACGAAACAGGAAAGAAGAAGGCGCUGCUGCAGAGCGAGAGAAGGAGGGGUCCCAGCCGUCGGCCACAGAAACAGGAGAGAGGGGAAAUCCACGCGCACGGGUGGGCUGCGCCCUGGGCCGAGGCGAGAUGGGCCAUAGGGAGGAAGUUGGGCCGAGCACGGGAGAGGGGGGGGGGAGAAAGGAAGAGGGGCUGGGUGGGCCGAAAGGCCACCAGGUAAGCCUUCUCCUCUUUUUUUUUAUUCUUUUUCUUUUUCAAAUCUUCUUCUAAAGGAGCUUUUGAGCA
rnacentral:lncRNA from 1 species